AUGACCACAGAGCUCAGAAACCUCAGAGCAGGGUCUGGGCUUCAUUACUCUGGAUUCCUGAGAGUGAGAGCAAUUAACAUCUGGCCAAAAUCAAGGGGUGGGGAGAAAAACAGUGGAUUCAACUUAAAUGCAGGUGCCAGUUUGAACAAAAAUCAGCGUCUGACCCAAACAGAUGGUACAGAAAAAGGCCUUUCCUCAGAGCCUGGCUGCAAAAAUUCUCCUAAGCCUUGGGACAUGGAUUGGAGCUGUAUCCACCAUGGGGCUCACAGCAGUGGGCCAAGAGGAAACAUUUUUUCUAACUUGUGAGCGAAGAUGAAAUUGUUUCCUUUGCUCAUGGUCAACUCCGCCAGGAGAACUUCACUCAUUCCUGAAGAACUCUUCCCAGGAUGAGACUGAUGAGUUACACAGUGUUCAAAUAAGCGAAAAGUCAAGGUUGUUGUGCAGGUUGCUAAUGAAUUCACUGUGGUUUGGGCUAGGAGAAGACGAUGACGUGUCUGGGGAUCAUUCCAUGAAUGGCAGAAAUGAGGAAUCCUUCAUUCGUGCAAGUUUGUGCCAGCUGCUUGGAUCCUCUCUGCACAGGCUCCUCCCUGGUCAUUAUGAUAUGUGUAAUGAUGGUGCUCCUGUUUAGCCUCUCUCAUGUCUCGUAGGACUGCAUUCUUAACUUAUGCUAAUGAAGCAUCUUUCUUACCUCGACCCAUUUGUCAAAUUCAGAUGAAAUUACUGCAGAACUAAAAAGCUGGGGAAGAUAGAAUAAACAAAAAGAAGCAAAGUGAGCUCA
rnacentral:lncRNA from 1 species